CCUUUGACGUUAGCGGCGGACGGGUGAGUAACACGUGGGUAACCUACCUAUAAGACUGGGAUAACUUCGGGAAACCGGAGCUAAUACCGGAUAAUAUUUCGAACCGCAUGGUUCGAUAGUGAAAGAUGGUUUUGAUAUCACUUAUAGAUGGACCCGCGCCGUAUUAGCUAGUUGGUAAGGUAACGGCUUACCAAGGCGACGAUACGUAGCCGACCUGAGAGGGUGAUCGGCCACACUGGAACUGAGACACGGUCCAGACUCCUACGGGAGGCAGCAGGG
rnacentral:rRNA from 1 species